rnacentral:rRNA from 1 species
GGAUUAGAUACCCUGGUAGUCCACGCCCUAAACGAUGAGAACUAGCCGUUGGGGGUAAUUGAAACCUUUAGUGGCGCAGCUAACGCGAUAAGUUCUCCGCCUGGGGAGUACGGCCGCAAGGCUAAAACUCAAAGGAAUUGACGGGGGCCCGCACAAGCGGUGGAGCAUGUGGUUUAAUUCGAUGCAACGCGAAGAACCUUACCUGCCCUUGACAUCCUCGGAACCUCUCAGAGAUGAGAGGGUGCCUUCGGGAACCGAGUGACAGGUGCUGCAUGGCUGUCGUCAGCUCGUGCCG